rnacentral:lncRNA from 1 species
AUGAUAAACGAAGGAGGAAAAGUAACAAAGAGCUUGAAGACUUUCAUGGCUCCCAGGCCCUGGAUGGAGGCAGGCGGCCCCAGACAGACAGAACCAAGGAGGUGCCUGUGGCUGCAGAGCCCAGACUUGUUUUGGAAAAGAUGGAGAAGAGCCAGUAAACUUGGCUUCCUCGAUUCUGCUCAUGUGGAAAGAACUAAGUAUGCGCAAGCCCCAUCAGCAGAGAGAAAUAAUGACUCCCGAAACAUUUCAGAAUCAAAAAGUUAA